UUGCUGCCUGUGGGGUUACCGAGCUGCACACCUGUGAUGCGUUCAGGGUGCAUAGAAAAUCUCCUACACAACCAUACCCUUUUCUACAGAAGAUGCAUUUCAAAGU